AGGCAGAGCUUGCUCUGUGCUGACGAGUGGCGGACGGGUGCGUAACGCGUGGGAAUCUACCUUAUAGUGGGGGAUAGCCCGAAGAAAUUCGGAUUAAUACCGCAUAAGCCCUACGGGGAAAAGGGGCCUCUCCUUGGAAGCUCUUGCUAUUAGAUGAGCCCGCGUAAGAUUAGCUUGUUGGUGGGGUAAUGGCCUACCAAGGCAACGAUCUUUAGCUGGUCUGAGAGGAUGAUCAGCCACACUGGGACUGAGACACGGCCCAGACUCC
rnacentral:rRNA from 2 species